GGACCCAGUGGGUGGUCCGGGUGGGCCGUGGCAUACCCUAAGAUUUGGCCCACCAACGGAUCCCCACUCCCAGCCGGCCUGUCCAAGUGCCAGACUCGGCAUCUCCUACGGUGGCGUGAGGCGUCCUGCCUAGCAACGACGCGGCCGACUCGCCGAGCGCCCGAGCCUCAGCCCCUCCCUGCGGCCUGGCGCGCCGCCCGGCCACAGCCGCGCCCACCGCCCGCCGGGCACCGGAGCUGGCUGGAUCUCGACGCCGCGCCGCCUGUCCGCCGUUCCGCAGCCGCCGCGGCCCGCGGCGCCGCCCAGCUGCCUCCGCCUGUCCGCCGGUGCGCGGCCGCCGCCCAGCAACCUCCGCCUGCCGCGAUGCAGCCGGCCAGCGGCCUCCCAACCUCCCAAAGGCCAAAGCCCCAAACCGAAGGGGUGCACAAGGCUGCUGACCCGUGGCAGACCAAGAAGCAGAGCUCGCCGCCGAAGAAGCGCAACAGAGCAAAAGAGCUAGAGCCUGUGCAGAUCAUGAAUAAAACUAUGUUCUUGCUUUUCUAUAGUACGUCCGGUACAAUUCAUUUUAUUUGAUUCACAAAGUAUUAUUUCAUACAUGCAACAAAAAGGUAUACAAAGAUCCAAUUUAGGCUUGAUCACCUUGUGUUGUGUGUUCAUACCUGUAUUAAAUAAUUUGUAGAUAGACUCACAGACACUCCACUAUACAUGUUGUCUUUUUUA